rnacentral:rRNA from 1 species
CCUACGGGUGGCAGCAGUGAGGAAUAUUGGUCAAUGGCCGGAAGGCUGAACCAGCCAUGCCGCGUGAAGGUCAGUGCCCUAUGGGCGUUAAACUUCUUUUGUGCGGGAGCAAUAAUGGUCACGUGUGGCCAGACGAGAGUACCGUACGAAUAAGCAUCGGCUAACUCCGUGCCAGCAGCCGCGGUAAUACGGGGGAUGCAAGCGUUAUCCGGAUUUAUUGGGUUUAAAGGGUGCGUAGGCGGCCUGUUAAGUCAGCGGUAAAAGCCCGGGGCUCAACCCCGGCGAGCCGUUGAAACUGGCGGGCUGGAGUUGGAGAGAAGUACGCGGAAUGCGCGGUGUAGCGGUGAAAUGCUUAGAUAUCGCGCAGAACCCCGAUUGCGAAGGCAGCGUACCGGCUCCACACUGACGCUGAGGCACGAAAGCGUGGGUAUCGAACAGGAUUAGAUACCCCAGUAGUC